rnacentral:tRNA from 1 species
UUUCCUGUGGCUCAGUUGGUAGAGCAUUGUGCUAACAACGCAAAGGUUCAAAUCCCAGGGAAA